rnacentral:rRNA from 1 species
AUGUCUAGCUCGACUUCGGCCUCCCGCCAAUCAUGGACGCAGUACGGUCCACCGCCGUUGACAAGAUGCCCCGAUUGCCCGCGCAUGGAGCCUCUGAAGCGUUUGACUUGUGUGAGGGAAGAAAAUGGCAACCGUGGGCGCGAGUUUGUGAAAUGCUUGAGCAAGCCACAGCCGGGGCAGGUUCUGAAGAAAUGUGGGCAUUUUGAGUGGCUCGAUGACUAUGUUGAAAGGUUGAAAUUGGAGGGAUCAACCUGA